rnacentral:rRNA from 1 species
GAUGAACGCUAGCUACAGGCUUAACACAUGCAAGUCGAGGGGCAGCGCAGUGUAGCAAUACAUGGGCGGCGACCGGCGCACGGGUGCGUAACGCGUAUCCAACCUUCCCGUUACUCUUGGAUAGCCUUCCGAAAGGGAGAUUAAUACAAGAUGGUAUUCAAAUUCCGCAUGUUAUUUGAAUUAAAGAUUUAUCGGUAACGGAUGGGGAUGCGUGACAUUAGAUAGUAGGCGGGGUAACGGCCCACCUAGUCUACGAUGUCUAGGGGUUCUGAGAGGAAGGUCCCCCACACUGGAACUGAGACACGGUCCAGACUCCUACGGGAGGCAGCAGUGAGGAAUAUUGGUCAAUGGGCGAGAGCCUGAACCAGCCAAGUAGCGUGAAGGAAGACUGCCCUAUGGGUUGUAAACUUCUUUUGUUCGGGAAUAAAGUGCAGUAUGUAUACUGUUUUGUAUGUACCGUUCGAAUAAGCAUCGGCUAAUUCCGUG